AUUGAACGCUGGCGGCAUGCCUUACACAUGCAAGUCGAACGGCAGCACGGGUGCUUGCCCCUGGUGGCGAGUGGCGAACAGGUGAGUAAUACAUCGGAACAUGUCCUGUAGUGGGGGAUAGCCCGGCGAAAGCCGGAUUAAUACCGCAUACGAUCUACGGAUGAAAGCGGGGGACCUUCGGGCCUCGCGCUAUAGGGUUGGCCGAUGGCUGAUUAGCUAGUUGGUGGGGUAAAGGCCUACCAAGGCGACGAUCAGUAGCUGGUCUGAGAGGACGACCAGCCACACUGGGACUGAGACACGGCCCAGACUCCUACGGGAGGCAGCAGUGGGGAAUUUUGGACAAUGGGCGAAAGCCUGAUCCAGCAAUGCCGCGUGUGUGAAGAAGGCCUUCGGGUUGUAAAGCACUUUUGUCCGGAAAGAAAUCCUUGGCCCUAAUACGGUCGGGGGAUGACGGUACCGGAAGAAUAAGCACCGGCUAACUACGU
rnacentral:rRNA from 1 species